AUACUUACCUGGCAGGGGGUGAUUUUAUGAUCAGGAAGGUGGUUUCCUCUGGGUGAGGCUUGCCAUUGGACUCCGGGGGCAUGCUGACCCCUGCGAUUUUCCCAAAUGUGGGAAACUCAACUGCGUAAUUUAUGGUAGUGGGGGACUGCGUUUGAGCUCUCCCCUG